GACGAACGCUGGCGGCGUGCCUAAUACAUGCAAGUUGAGCGCUGAAGGUUGGUACUUGUACCAACUGGAUGAGCAGCGAACGGGUGAGUAACGCGUGGGGAAUCUGCCUUGGAGCGGGGGACAACAUUUGGAAACGAAUGCUAAUACCGCAUAAAAACUUUAAACACAAGUUUUAAGUUUGAAAGAUGCAAUUGCAUCACUCAAAGAUGAUCCCGCGUUGUAUUAGCUAGUUGGUGAGGUAAAGGCUCACCAAGGCGAUGAUACAUAGCCGACCUGAGAGGGUGAUCGGCCACAUUGGGACUGAGACACGGCCCAAACUCCUACGGGAGGCAGCAGUAGGGAAUCUUCGGCAAUGGACGAAAGUCUGACCGAGCAACGCCGCGUGAGUGAAGAAGGUUUUCGGAUCGUAAAACUCUGUUGGUAGAGAAGAACGUUGGUGAGAGUGGAAAGCUCAUCAAGUGACGGUAACUACCCAGAAAGGGACGGCUAACUACGUG
rnacentral:rRNA from 1 species